CCUACGGGUGGCAGCAGUGAGGAAUAUUGGUCAAUGGCCGCAGGGCUGAACCAGCCAAGUCGCGUGAGGGAUGACGGUCCUAUGGAUUGUAAACCUCUUUUGUCAGGGAGCAAAGGGCGCCACGUGUGGCGUUUUGCGAGUACCUGAAGAAAAAGCAUCGGCUAACUCCGUGCCAGCAGCCGCGGUAAUACGGAGGAUGCGAGCGUUAUCCGGAUUUAUUGGGUUUAAAGGGUGCGAAGGCGGAAUGUCAAGUCAGCGGUAAAAUGUCGGGGCUCAACCCCGUCGUGCCGUUGAAACUGGGGUGCGUGAGUGAGCGAGAAGUAUGCGGAAUGCGUGGUGUAGCGGUGAAA
rnacentral:rRNA from 1 species